rnacentral:lncRNA from 1 species
UUGCUGACAGAUCGAGGCGGGCUGAGUGCGCGAGCGGCCGGGGAGUAUUCCCGCGGGUCCUCCGGUUCCCUCCCCACCUCUCCGUUCCCGAAGCCCCCGGUAGUGGGCGGGGAGGGACGGGGGAGUCGUGGAAACUUCGCCCACCGCGCGCGGUCGCCGCGGUGCUGGCCGCGGGCUGGUGGCCGGCAGGCGGUGGCAGCAGCCUCACCGAACAGCUGAAACCCUAGACGGUUUUUUAACUGCGCGGGGCUGCUCGCGGUGCCUAUUAAACAUCCUCCUGGCUGGGUGUCAUUUUCUUGCUUCUCCUUUUGUAUUCUGAUCUGCGCAUAGAUCUGCUGCUGCUGAAAUCUAGAACACCAGCGCGAAAACAGAUUUGAAGACAAUGAAUGCAAAUCUGUGCUCAAAGACCAUCUGCCGUGGAGGAGACAAUCAGCUGUUCGUAGUUCGAGCGAUUGCGCCCCAGUCUCCCGGUCUCAUUACGGGGAGGGCAUUUGCGAGCGCCUGGACUGCGUUCAGGGCACUUUCUCCCCUCUUGGGUCUCAGAUUUGAGAGACCAGAUCCCUUAGGUGUAGGUGAGCGCUCGCAAAUGAACUGCUAGAGUUUGCCGCUAGAGGACACAGCGCCUUGCAACUGGUUUGCCUAGGCUGACAGGAAGCUUGCACUUCAAGAAAACUCGGCUCUCUCGAGAAAGGGACCGGUGCGCGCCUCCACCUCCCCAAGGGACAAACCGCGGCACCACGCUGCGUGCGCGGGAUUGCGACUAGGAAGUGCUGGUCCGAACUGCGGAGAUUCGCUUGAAAACGGAUAGGGGGUUUUACGGAGAAUUUCGGUCCCAGCAAAAACUGAUCACCUGGAGUCUUCUACGGUCUCUCUUUAUAAAUCUCUCCGAACCUCAAGCAACUCCCCCCCACCCCCUUCGUCUGGGGUCUGCGCCCAGCGGGGCCAAAGCCUUGAGUUCCUUGGCAGAGAGUGUGGAACAGCCGUGAGCCCUUCAAGACAUGCCUAUGAGCCCGGUGAUUUUUUUUUCAAGGGGGCUUUGAUCAGCUGUACCUCCACGUUGCCCCGGAAAGGUGCGCAGGGCACCCGGAGAGGCCUCUGGUCAGCAGUGGGCCUGGGCCAAGCCCCAACAGUUUACCCCUCAGGCUCAGGUUGGCUGGGGUUAAAGGGCAAAGUCAGGGUCGAGGGCACCAGCUUUUCUCGGCGGUAACAGCUGCCACCCAAAUUAUGCCCCCUCAGGAAGCGAAUGAAUUGUUCCUUUCUCCCAGCUCCCUGCUGCCCGCCCCAAAACAGACGGGGCCGCGCUCGGCGGGCGCCCCUCCUCCCAGCCAACCCCCCGAGACGCGCUCAGGGGCCUCGGUGCCCCGCUGGGAGGCAAUUUGGGGGAGCCGUGGUCCCGAACUUUGACAGAGUGGGGCUUCCCCACUACUUGCCGGCUGCGCUAAGGGCGCCCCCCGCGGCAGUGCUGCUGGGAGCUCCAGGGAUGGCUGUGUGGCUCGCUGCGGGCGUUGAAGUUCCCUGUUGGCCAGGCUGAAGUGCCUGCGCGAGCGUGAGGGGACAAGGACUGCCUUGGGCCCAGCGUGGCGGCGUUUCGGCCAACCCAGUUGGGGUUAAUUGCGUCUGUAUAGGUUUUGGGUAGGAAUGCUCGCGGAGUCCGCCACCCGCGCGAAACAUGCGUUGGUUGGGGGAAUGAGCAGCGGCGGCUGCGCCUGGAGGGUUGCUCCCACCUCUGUCGCCUCCAGCUACCCCCAAACAAACCUCCUUUUCGAUCUCGUGCAACACAAAACCUGCCCCGAGCUGUGCGGGGGCCUGGCAAGCGCAGCUGCGGCCCCGGGAAGCCCAAUCCCGCGGGACUGCGGAGCCCACGCGCUCCUCAGGCUCCGGCCAACUAGCUCGGUUCUGCCUCUAGCCCGGGUCAAGAAAAAUCCAAAAUGAACACUAUGAUUAAAAUUAUUCACAAUCUAUUUAUACAAAACUGGGGGUGUCUGUCUUUUACCCUGUCCCCUUCUUCAUUUAC